ACCUUAACCCAGCACUCGGUUCAUCCCGCGUCGCCAGUUCUGCUUACCAAAAACGGCCCACUCGAAGCUCUAACAUUCAAUUUUACAUUGCCGCCGGUUCAAUUAAGAAACUUUGCCAUGCUAUUACGACUUAUCACCGGUUUGCAGUUUGUGAAUAGGUUGAGGAUAAUCAUAUCCCCAAUACCUCUAAACAUUAGCUCUACCCGAUGAAACUGUUUUUCGAGCUUCGGCGAUCCUGAGGGAUAUUUCCGGAGGGAACCAGCUACUAGAUGGUUCGAUUAGUCUUUCGCCCCUAUACCCAGGUCCGGACGACCGAUUUGCACGUCAGGACCGCUGCGGACCUCCACCAGAGUUUCCUCUGGCUUCGCCCUGCCCAGGUCUGACUCGCGCGCGCGUCAGAGGGUCCCCCGAAACCCCGUGGCGCAAUGAAGGUGAGGGCCGGCGCGUGCCGGCUGAGGUGGGAUCCCGGCCCGUCCCCCGCGGCGGCCGGGCGCACCACCGGCCCGUCUCGCCCGCUCCGUCGGGGAGGUGGAGCCAGCGCGCGGCGAUAGUACCCGAAAGAUGGUGAACUAUGCCUGGGCAGGGCGAAGCCAGAGGAAACUCUGGUGGAGGUCCGCCGGCGGUCCUGACGUGCAAAUCGGUCGUCAAACUUGGGUAUAGGGUCGAAAGACUAAUUCGAACCAUUAGUAGCUGGUUCCCUCCGAAGGUUUCCUCAGGAUAGCUGGCGCUCGGGAAAACACUCGCAGUUCUUAUCUGGUUAAGCGAAUGACGAGAGGUCUUUGGGCCCGAAACGAUCUCAACCUAUUCUCAAACUUUAAAUGGGUAAGAAGCCCAGCUCGCUGGCUUGGAGCUCGGGCGUUGGAAUGCGAGCCGCCUAGUGCACUUUUGGUAAGGCAGAACUGGCCGCUGCGGGAUGAACCCAAACGCCGGUUAAGGCGCCCAAUGCCGACGCUCAUCAGACCCCAGAAAAGGGGUUUUGGUUUGUUAUAACAGCAGGACGGUGGCCAUGGAAGUCGGAAUCCGCUAAGGAGUGUGUAACAACUCACCUGCCGAAUCAACUAGCCCUGAAAUUGUAUUGCCGCUGGAGCGUGGGGCCAUACCCGGCCGUCGCCGGCGGUGGGAGAGCCCCGGGGGCUACGCCGCGACGAGUAGGAGGGCCGCCGCGGUGGCGCAGAAGCCUAGGGCGCGGGCCCGGGUGGAGCCGCCGCGGGUGCAGAUCUUGGUGGUAGGUAGCAAAUAUUCAAACGAGAACUUUAGAAGGCCGAAGUGGAGAAGGGGUCCCAUGUGAACAGCAGUUGAACAUGGGUCAGUCGGGUCCUAAGAGAUAUUGGCGAACGCGUUCGGAAGGUGAAGGGCCGAUGGCUUCGUCGCGCCCGCGGCCGAUCGAAAGGGAGUCGGGUUCAGAUCCCCCCGAACCAGGAGCGCGGGGAUAGGCGCCGCGAGGCGUCCAGUGCGGUUAACGCAAACGAACCCGGAGAAGCCCGCCGGGAGCCCCGGGGAGAGUUCUCUUUUUUUGUGAAGGGGGGCGCCCUGGAAUGGGUUCGCCCCAGAUAGGGGCCCGGGCCCUGGAAAGCGUCGCGGUUUCCGGCGGCCUUCCGGUGAACUCUCGCUGGCCCUUGAAAAUCCCGGGGAAGAGGGUGUAAAUCUCGCGCCGGCCCGUACCCAUAUCCGCAGCAAGUUCUCCAAGGUGAACAAGCCUCUGGCAUGUUAGAACAAUGUAGGUAAGGGAAGUCGGCAAGUCAGAGAUCCGUAACUUCGGGAUAAGGAUUGGCUCUAAGGAUUGAGCUAUUUGGACCAGCAAUAUCGGAGAUUGUGCUUCUUUACGGACGGGCUGUCAAUUGAUGUAGGGAAACCUACUAUUGAUUGUGCACGCCUGUUAGUGAAUGUAGUAACUUCCUGUUGAUGGUUUGUGUAAAUGGUAAGGUGUACUCGUUAUGUUUUACCAGAUAUACCUAGCGAAUAGCUAAAAUCAAUCAACUUAGAACUGUCACUAACAUGGGGAAUCCGACUGUUUAAUUAAAACAAAGCAUUGCGAUGGCUGGAAACGGUGUUGACGCAAUGUGAAUUCUGCCCAGUGCUCUGAAUGUCAAAGUGUGGAGACACAACGAAUCCGUUGUUUAAUUAAAACAAAGCAUCGCGAGGGCCCGCGGCGGGUGUUGACGCGAUGUGAUUUCUGCCCAGUGCUCUGAAUAUCUCAAAGUGAAGAAAUUCAAGUGAAGCGCGGGUAAAGGCGGCGGGGACCUAUGACUCUCUUAAGGUAGCCAAAAUUCCUCGUCAUCUAAUUAGUUGACGCGCAUGAAUGGAUGAACGAGAUUCCCACUUUCCUACCUGCUAUCUAGCGAAACAAAGCCAAGGGGAACCGGCCUUGGCCAGAGACAGCGGGGAAAGAAGACCCUUGUUGAGCUUGACUCUAGUCUGGCACUGUGAAGAGACAUGAGAGGCGUAGAAUAAGUGGGAGGCCUCGUUGAGCUUGACUCUAGUCUGGCACUGUGAUGAGACAUGAGAGGUUGUAGAAUAAGUGGGAGGCCUUGGCGCCGGUGAAAUACCACUACUCUUAUCGUUUCCUCACUUACCCGGUGAGGCGGGGAGGCGAGCCCCGAGCGGGUCCGUUUCGGGGGGGCGCCCCCGGGGGGGCCUCUCUUUUGGGGAGCAAGGGCGCCUCUCGUUUCGGGGGUCGGGGCGCGGGCGCGCGCGGGCGCGCCCCGCUCCGGGGACAGUGGCAGGUGGGGAGUUUGACUGGGGCGGUACACCUGUCAAACCGGUAACGCAGGUUGUCCUAAGGCGAGCUCAGGGAGGACGGAAACCCUCCCGUGGAGCAGAAGGGCAAAACUCGCUUGAUCUUGAUUUUCAGUAUGAAUACAGACCGUGAAAGCGGGGCCUCACGAUCCUUCUCGGGCUUUUUGGGUUUUAAGCAGGAGGUGUCAGAAAAGUUAACCAACAGGGAUUACCUGGCCUUGUGGCAGCCGCUCAUUGGUGACGUUUCUUUUUGAUCCUUCGAUGUCGGCUCUUCCUUAUUCAUUGCUGAAGCAGAAUUCACCAAGCGUUGGAUUGUUCACCCACUAAUAGGGAACGUGAGCUGGGGUUUAAGACCGUCGUGAGACAGGUUUAGUUUUACCCUACUGAUGAUGUGUUUUUGCAAUAGUAAUUCCUGCUCAAGUACGGAGAGGGGAACCGCAGGGUUCAGACAUUGGGUGCAUGUGCUUGGCUGAGGGAGCCCAAUGGGUGCGACGCUACCAUCUGUGGGCCUUAGACUGAACAACGCCUCUAAGUCAGAAUCCCCCCUAGACGUAACGAUACCGGAGCGCCGCGGAACCUCGGUUGUGCCCGGAUAGCCGGCCCUCCCCCGGGGGGUCGGCGCGGAGCGCCGUUUGU
rnacentral:rRNA from 1 species